rnacentral:rRNA from 1 species
AGCGAACGCUGGCGGCAGGCUUAACACAUGCAAGUCGAGCGGGCCCUUCGGGCUCAUCGGCGGUCGGGUGAGGAACGCGUGGGAACGUGCCUUCUGGUCUGGAAUAACCCUGGGAAACUAGGGCUAAUACCGGUUACGCCCUUUCCGGGUAAGGUUUACUGCCGGAUGCUCGGCGCGCGUCUGAUUAGCCGGUUGGUGGGGUAACGGCAUACCAAGGCGACGUUCAGUAGCUGGUCUGAGACGAGGAUCAGCCACGCUGGGCCUGCGACACGGCCCAGACUGGUACGGAAGGGAGCAGUGGGGAAUAUUGGGCGAUGGGCGCAAGUCUGACCACGCCAUGCGGCGUGAGUGAUGAAGGCGUUAGGGUUGUAAAGCUGUUUGAUACGAGACGAGAAUGACGGUAACGGAGGAAUAAGCCCCGGCUAACUUCGUG